UACGGGGGGGGCAAGCGUUGUUCGGAAUUACUGGGCGUAAAGGGCUCGUAGGCGGCCAACUAAGUCAGACGUGAAAUCCCUCGGCUUAACCGGGGAACUGCGUCUGAUACUGGAUGGCUUGAGUUUGGGAGAGGGAUGCGGAAUUCCAGGUGUAGCGGUGAAAUGCGUAGAUAUCUGGAGGAACACCGGUGGCGAAAGGCGGCAUCCUGGACCAACACUGACGCUGAGUGAGCGAAAGCCAGGGGAGCAAACGGG
rnacentral:rRNA from 1 species